UACGAAGGGGGCUAGCGUUGCUCGGAAUUAUUGGGCGUAAAGGGCGCGUAGGCGGCUUGGUAAGUUUGAUGUGAAAUCCCAUGGCUCAACCAUGGAACUGCAUCUCAUACUGCCGAGCUAGAGUCUGGGAGAGGGAAGCGGAAUUCCCGGUGUAGCGGUGAAAUGCGCAGAUAUCAGGAGGAACACCGGUGGCGAAGGCGGGUCUCUGGGCCGAUACUGACGCUGAGGAGCGAAAGCGUGGGGAGCGAACAGG
rnacentral:rRNA from 1 species